GGGCCCAAACAAAAUUACCUAACCUUGACAACAGAAAUUUUCAAAAAUUCUACUUCAACAAUCAAUCUUGGUUAUUGUAAUUGAAAUUCUGUCUCUCUAAACUUUAGAGAGAGGAACUUCUCUUUUUUUUUUUUAAUUUUGAUUUUUUCUGGGUCUGAGGCUUUGUCCCUUUUCUGCCAAUUUGCAGCGUCCUCAGCCCCUCGAAAGCACGGAGGCUUCCUCUUUCUUCGCCCAACAGGGAGUCUUCACUCCCUUUUUGGGGUUGAUUUGUAAAUACGAGUUUUGAUUUUUUGCAGGUCUAAAGCUUCAUUGGUCUGGCAUGGUGAACGCUAUUCUGGUGCCUCGUCCAUGAGGAAUGGCGUGCGGCGGCAUUGCAGUAGCAAUCAACGCAAGCUUGCCUCUGCUACCUAUAGUUCAACUAUGGGCUUGGGCUGUAUAUUUGGUUUAGUUAGCUGUAGAUUGCUAGCUUUUCAGGCUGUGUUUGCUGAGCCUCUCUAGUUUUGAUCUACUGGGCUGGCCUAUGAGCCAACCUGCCUUAUAUUUCUUUGGGCCUGGCCUUCUUAAUGAAACAGCCUUUAUCUUCGAAAAUAAAAAUCUUGGCAAUUAUCACGA